UCCACAGGGAUGCUGAUGCUGUCUGGACCU
rnacentral:piRNA from 1 species